rnacentral:rRNA from 1 species
UAUCCUGGCUCAGGAUGAACGCUAGCGGCAGGCUUAACACAUGCAAGUCGAGGGGUAUAGUUCUUCGGAACUAGAGACCGGCGCACGGGUGCGUAACGCGUAUGCAAUCUACCUUUCACAGAGGGAUAGCCCAGAGAAAUUUGGAUUAAUACCUCAUAGUAUAACGACCUGGCAUCAGGAUGUUAUUAAAGUCACAACGGUGAAAGAUGAGCAUGCGUCCCAUUAGCUAGUUGGUAAGGUAACGGCUUACCAAGGCUACGAUGGGUAGGGGUCCUGAGAGGGAGAUCCCCCACACUGGUACUGAGACACGGACCAGACUCCUACGGGAGGCAGCAGUGAGGAAUAUUGGACAAUGGGCGCAAGCCUGAUCCAGCCAUGCCGCGUGCAGGAUGACGGUCCUAUGGAUUGUAAACUGCUUUUAUACAGGAAGAAACACUUGCUCGUGAGCAAACUUGACGGUACUGUAAGAAUAAGGAUCGGCUAACUCCGUG